rfam:Phytophthora megakarya strain zdho120 scaffold_18483, whole genome shotgun sequence.
AACGAUGUAGCUCAACUGGAAAGAGCACAGGGCUUCGGCUCUGGGGUGCCCGUUCGAAUCGGGUCAUCGUUA